AUUGAACGCUGGCGGCAUGCCUUACACAUGCAAGUCGAACGGUAACAGGUCUUCGGAUGCUGACGAGUGGCGAACGGGUGAGUAAUACAUCGGAACGUGCCCGAUCGUGGGGGAUAACGGAGCGAAAGCUUUGCUAAUACCGCAUACGAUCUACGGAUGAAAGCAGGGGACCGCAAGGCCUUGCGCGGACGGAGCGGCCGAUGGCAGAUUAGUUAGUUGGUGGGAUAAAAGCUUACCAAGCCGACGAUCUGUAGCUGGUCUGAGAGGACGACCAGCCACACUGGGACUGAGACACGGCCCAGACUCCUACGGGAGGCAGCAGUGGGGAAUUUUGGACAAUGGGCGAAAGCCUGAUCCAGCCAUGCCGCGUGCAGGAUGAAGGCCUUCGGGUUGUAAACUGCUUUUGUACGGAACGAAAAGACUCUUUCUAAUAAAGAGGGUCCAUGACGGUACCGUAAGAAUAAGCACCGGCUAACUACGUG
rnacentral:rRNA from 1 species